rnacentral:rRNA from 1 species
GACGAACGCCGGCGGCGUGCUUAACACAUGCAAGUCGAACGGAAAGGCCCUGCUUUUGUGGGGUGCUCGAGUGGCGAACGGGUGAGUAACACGUGAGUAACCUGCCCUUGACUUUGGGAUAACUUCAGGAAACUGGGGCUAAUACCGGAUAGGAGCUCCUGCUGCAUGGUGGGGGUUGGAAAGUUUCGGCGGUUGGGGAUGGACUCGCGGCUUAUCAGCUUGUUGGUGGGGUAGUGGCUUACCAAGGCUUUGACGGGUAGCCGGCCUGAGAGGGUGACCGGCCACAUUGGGACUGAGAUACGGCCCAGACUCCUACGGGAGGCAGCAGUGGGGAAUAUUGCACAAUGGGCGGAAGCCUGAUGCAGCAACGCCGCGUGCGGGAUGACGGCCUUCGGGUUGUAAACCGCUUUCGCCUGUGACGAAGCGUGAGUGACGGUAAUGGGUAAAGAAGUACCGGCUAACUACGUG